rnacentral:rRNA from 1 species
AAUACCGCAUACGACCUGAGGGUGAAAGCGGGGGACCGGUAACGGCCUCGCGCGAUAGGAGCGGCCGAUGUCUGAUUAGCUAGUUGGUGGGGUAAGAGCCUACCAAGGCGACGAUCAGUAGCUGGUCUGAGAGGACGAUCACCCACACUGGGACUGAGACACGGCCCAGACUCCUACGGGAGGCAGCAGUGGGGAAUUUUGGACAAUGGGGGCAACCCUGAUCCAGCAAUGCCGCGUGUGUGAAGAAGGCCUUCGGGUUGUAAAGCACUUUUGUCCGGAAAGAAAUCCUCUGCCCUAAUACGGCGGGGGGAUGACGGUACCGGAAGAAUAAGCACCGGCUAACUACGUGCCAGCAGCCGCGGUAAUACGUAGGGUGCGAGCGUUAAUCGGAAUUACUGGGCGUAAAGCGUGCGCAGGCGGUUUUGUAAGACAGGCGUGAAAUCCCCGAGCUCAACUUGGGAAUGGCGCU